ACGCAGGCGUAAAUGCAGUUUGUUUUGUUACAUGAUCUACGGCUAUUUCAUUACCAAAGCUCCUGAUAACAGAUCAAAGCAGAUGGAUCGGGCAUACAGAGUCGCCGUUUAACUUAUAAUAUCUUCGUGAUCGGCAAACACAUCAAACAGCAUGUUUUUUUUUCAACAGCACGCACCAUCGGUGGAGCAAGCAGCUAACGUUUUGUUCGCCCAGCACGCACCAUCAAGUAUUGAAAUGUUUUCAAAUAGCUUUGUGAAUAAAAAACUGCACACUUACUGUCGGAAUUUCCUGGAAUUUUUGGUCGGGCUACGCUCG